rnacentral:lncRNA from 1 species
CGCCAACACCCCCCCUCCCGGAUGGUACCCACGAGCUCUGACCAGGAGCAGAUGGGAGGCACACCUGUGAUGUGCUGGGAGCCAAUGAAGGAGCGUUUCCCUCUGAGAUGUGGCCUCCGGGAGCCCGUGGGCUGGAAUGGCCACCAUCCGGCCCCGACUCCAUUUAAUAGACAGGAAAGCACCUGACGCCCACAGCCCACGCAGGUGCUGGGAGACUCAGACAAGCGUGUGCGGAGCGCACCCACGCAUCACACGCCAGCACACGGGGGGGUUCCCUGAUAAUGAAGCAGUUUCAGUGGAAAGUGCGUACGAC